rnacentral:rRNA from 1 species
UAAGAGGUCCUGCCUGCCCUGUGACUUAACGUUUAACGGCCGCGGUAUUUUGACCGUGCGAAGGUAGCGCAAUCACUUGUCUCUUAAAUGGGGACCUGUAUGAAUGGCAUAACGAGGGUUUAACUGUCUCCUUUCCCAAGUUAAUGAAAUUGAUCUCCCCGUGCAGAAGCGGGGAUAAAAACGUAAGACGAGAAGACCCUAUGGAGCUUUAGGCAACAAGCAGAUCACACCCAAACAACCCUAAUAAAGGAAAAAACACACUGAGCCCUGCCCUAAUGCCUUUGGUUGGGGCGACCGCGGGGAAACAAAAAACCCCCAUGUGGAAUGGGACUACGUCCUCCAAAAAAGAGCCCCCGCUCUAAAAAACAGAACAUCUGACCUCUAAGAUCCGGUUGCCGAUCAACGGACCGAGUUACCCUAGGGAUAACAGCGCAAUCCCCUUAUAGAGCCCAUAUCGACAAGGGGGUUUACGACCUCGAUGUUGGAUCAGGAUAUCCUAAUGGUGCAGCCGCUAUUAAGGGUUCGUU